GUUGGGUGGUGUUUCCAGGUUCCAGGUUGGGUGGUGGUUCCAGGAUGGAUGGUGUUUCCAGGUUCCAGGUUGGAUGGUGUUUCCAGGUUCCAGGUUGGAUGGUGUUUCCAGGUUCCAGGUUGGGUGGUGUUUCCAGGUUGGAUGGUGUUUCCAGGUUCCAGGUUGGGUAGUGUUUCCAGGUUGGAUGGUGUUUCCAGGUUCCAGGUUGGAUGGUGUUUCCAGGUUCCAGGUUGGAUGGUGUUUCCAGGUUCCAGGUUGGAUGGUGUUUUCAGGUUCCAGGUUGGAUGGUGUUUCCAGGUUCCAGGUUGGAUGGUGUUUCCAGGUUCCAGGUUGCAUGGUGUUUUCAGGUUCCAGGUUGGAUGGUGUUUUCAGGUUCCAGGUUGGAUGGUGUUUCCAGGUUCCAGGUUGGAUGGUGUUUCCAGGUUCCUGGUUGGAUGGUGUUUCCAGGUUCCAGGUUGGAUGGUGUUUCCAGGUUCCAGGUUGGAUGGUGUUUCCAGGUUCCAGGUUGGAUGGUGUUUCCAGGUUCCAGGUUGCAUGGUGUUUUCAGGUUCCAGGUUGGAUGGUGUUUUCAGGUUCCAGGUUGGAUGGUGUUUCCAGGUUCCAGGUUGGAUGGUGUUUCCAGGUUCCUGGUUGGAUGGUGUUUCCAGGUUCCAGGUUGGAUGGUGGUUCCAGGUUCCAGGUUGGAUGGUGGUUCCAGGUUCCAGGUUGGGUGGUGUUUCCAGGUUCCAGGUUGGGUGGUGGUUCCAGGUUGGAUGGUGUUUCCAGGUUGGAUGGUGUUUCCAGGUUCCAGGUUGGAUGGUGUUUCCAGGUUCCUGGUUGGAUGGUGUUUCCAGGUUCCAGGUUGGAUGGUGGUUCCAGGUUCCAGGUUGGAUGGUGUUUUCAGGUUCCAGGUUAGAUGGUGUUUCCAGGUUCCAGGUUGGGUGGUGUUUCCAGGUUCCAGGUUGGGUGGUGUUUUCAGGUUCCAGGUUGGGUGGUGUUUCCAGGUUCCAGGUUGGGUGGUGGUUCCAGGUUGGGUGGUGGUUCCAGGUUCCAGGUUGGAUGGUGUUUCCAGGUUCCAGGUUGGGUGGUGUUUCCAGGUUCCAGGUUGGGUGGUGUUUUCAGGUUCCAGGUUGGGUGGUGUUUUCAGGUUCCAGGUUGGGUGGUGUUUUCAGGUUCCAGUUUAGGUGGUGUUUUCACGUUCCAGGUUCGGGGGAUGUUUCCAGGUUCCAGGUUGGGUGGUGGUUCCAGGUUCCAGGUUGGAUGGUGUUUCCAGGUUGGAUGGUGUUUUCAGGUUCCAGGUUGGAUGGUGUUUCCAGGUUGGAUGGUGUUUCCAGGUUCCAGGUUGGAUGGUGUUUUCAGGUUCCAGGUUGGAUGGUGUUUCCAGGUUCCAGGUUGGAUGGUGUUUCCAGGUUGGAUGGUGGUUCCAGGUUGGAUGGUGGUUCCAGGUUCCAGGUUGGGUGGUGUUUCCAGGUUCCAGGUUGGGUGGUGUUUUCAGGUUCCAGGUUGGGUGGUGUUUCCAGGUUCCAGGUUGGGUGGUGUUUCCAGGUUCCAGGUUGGGUGGUGUUUUCAGGUUCCAGGUUGGAUGGUGUUUCCAGGUUCCAGGUUGGGUGGUGUUUUCAGGUUCCAGGUUGGGUGGUGUUUUCAGGUUCCAGGUUGGGUGGUGUUUCCAGGUUCCAGGUUGGGUGGUGUUUCCAGUUUGGGUGGUGUUUCCAGGUUCCAGGUAGGAUGGUGUUUCCAGGUUCCAGGUUGGAUGGUGUUUCCAGGUUCCAGGUUGGGUGGUGUUUCCAGGUUGGGUGGUGUUUCCAGGUUCCAGGUUGGAUGGUGUUUCCAGGUUCCAGGUAGGAUGGUGUUUCCAGGUUCCAGGUUGGAUGGUGUUUUCAGGUUCCAGGUUGGAUGGUGUUUCCAGGUUGGGUGGUGUUUUCAGGUUCCAGGUAGGAUGGUGUUUCCAGGUUCCAGGUUGGAUGGUGUUUCCAGGUUCCAGGUUGGGUGGUGUUUCCAGGUUCCAGGUUGGAUGGUGUUUCCAGGUUGGGUGGUGGUUCCAGGUUCCAGGUUGGAUGGUGUUUCCAGGUUCCAGGUUGGGUGGUGUUUCCAGGUUCCAGGUUGGAUGGUGUUUCCAGGUUCCAGGUUGGGUGGUGUUUUCAGGUUCCAGGUUGGAUGGUGUUUCCAGGUUGGGUGGUGUUUCCAGGUUCCAGGUUGGGUGGUGUUUCCAGGUUGGGUGGUGUUUCCA
rnacentral:lncRNA from 1 species